rnacentral:lncRNA from 10 species
CAAAAAUUAGCUGGGCAUGGUGGUGUGCACCUGUAGUCCCAGCUACUCGGGAGGCUGAGGCAGGAGAAUCACUUGAACCCAGGAGGCAGAGGUGGCGGUGAGCUGAGAUUGUGUCAUUGCACGCCUCCUGGGUUCAAGUGAUUCUUAUGCCUCAGCCUCCCGAGUAGCUGGGAUUACGGGAAUACGCCACCACGCCUGGCUAAUUUUAUAUUUUUAGUAGAGACAGGGUUUCUCCAUGUUGGUCAGCCUGGUCUCAAACUCCCGACCUUAGG